AGAGCGAACGCUGGCGGCAGGCCUAACACAUGCAAGUCGAGCGCCGUAGCAAUACGGAGCGGCAGACGGGAGAGUAACACGUGGGAACGUGCCCUUUGGUUCGGAACAACACAGGGAAACUUGUGCUAAUACCGGAUAAGCCCUUACGGGGAAAGAUUUAUCGCCAAAGGAUCGGCCCGCGUCUGAUUAGCUAGUUGGUGAGGUAACGGCUCACCAAGGCGACGAUCAGUAGCUGGUCUGAGAGGAUGAUCAGCCUCACUGGGACUGAGACACGGCCCAGACUCCUACGGGAGGCAGCAGUGGGGAAUAUUGGACAAUGGGCGCAAGCCUGAUCCAGCCAUGCCGCGUGGAUGAUGAAGGCCCUAGGGUUGUAAAGUCCUUUCGGCGGGGAAGAUAAUGACGGUACCCGCAGAAGAAGCCCGGCUAACUUCGCGCCAGCAGCCGC
rnacentral:rRNA from 1 species